UAGAGUUUAUUAGUCACAUGCACAGGGUCACAGAUGUAAUUGCAGGGUACAGUGAAAUUCUUAAGCUCCGAGCUCCAACUGUGCAGGUCAAGAGAAGUGAAUGGAACAAUAAUACAAAUAAUAAUAUAUACAUAUUUACAACUGUAACAAUGAUAAAUAUUCAUUGGGGGGUGGGAGCAGGGUAAAUGUCCGUUGAGGGGGAGGGGAGUAAAAUGUCGAUAGGGGGAGCAGCGGGUGGUAGGAAUUUCGGGGGACAGGGGGAACAGGUAGCUGACUAGUGGUGGCUAUUCAGCAGCCUGAUGGUCUGGGGGAAGAAGCUAUUGGUCUGACAGUUUUUGACAUGAUGCUCCUAUACUGUCCACCUCUGAGUGAUGGAAGCGGGGAGAACAGGCCAUGGCUCGGGUUGCUGGGUUCCCUGAUUAUCUUCUUGGCCUUCCUGCGACAAGAAUGGGGAGGAAGAGCAGUCCCAAUAUUGUGAUGGUCCAUACAGCAUGGUUACGCUUCAGCUGGCUAUCUCCAUAACACUUCUUCCCCCAAGUUAGUGGCGAAACAACACUCCAUAAUACUCUUUUCCCCCAGGUUCGUGGCUAAACAACACCCCAUAAUACUCUUUUCCCCAGGUUAGUGGCUAAACAACACCCCAUAAUACUCCUUUCCCCAGGUUAGUGGCUAAGCAACACCCCAUAAUACUCUUUUCCCCAGGUUAGUGACUAAGCAACACUCCAUAAUACUCUUUUCCCCAGGUUAGUGACUAAGCAACACUCCAUAAUACUCCUUUCCCCAGGUUAGUGGCUAAGCAACACCCCAUAAUACUCUUUUCCCCAGGUUAGUGACUAAGCAACACUCCAUAAUACUCUUUUCCCCAGGUUAGUGACUAAACAACACCCCAUAAUACUCUUUUCCCCAGGUUAGUGACUAAGCAACACUCCAUAAUACUCUUUCCCCCAGGUUAGUGGCUAAGCAACACUCCAUAAUACUCUUUUCCCCAGGUUAGUGGCUAAACAACACUCCAUAAUACUAUUUUCCCCCAGGUUAGUAGCUAAACAACACCCCAUAAUACUCUUUUCCCCCAGGUUAGUGACUAAGCAACACUCCAUAAUACUCCUUCCCCCAGGUUAGUGGCUCAGCAACAGACCACAUGGGGCUCAUGCCCUAGUCUUUCAUCAUUCUUAAGGAACAGAUUUUAUAUACAAAAUAUACAAUGAGUACAGUACAAUAUACAGCUAUGAGCGGAAGCCUCCUCCUCCCUCUUGUCACUUUCACCACGUAAAAUACACACUCAUUUUCUCUCUCUCUCUUGCUACCUCUGUGUCUAUGUCUAUGUCUUUCUCAUAGGAUUAAACCAAUCAACAAACAACACACUUGGGGAACUCUUCCAAUAUAACUUUAAAUAGUAUUGGAUGGUGUUCUCUGAAGCAAACUGCUGACAUCACCACUGGGCUAUUGCAACAGCAAUGUGCAUAGCCUACAGAUAAUGCAAGGGGAAGUGACUGUCCCACACUAAGAGCAGAGGACUGCCGUGUCAGCUAUGCAUAACUACUCCAGUAUAUUCCAUGCAUCCUGUGGCUAUCUGUCUGACAUACAGUAUGGCCAAGGGAAACGUCCUCUUUUUGUCUCCUGUUUCAUUAGAAAGGGGAUGUUUCAGGUAUUUUUAGGCAUACAGUGCAUUCGGAAAGUAUUCAGACCCCUUGACUUUUCCACAUUUUGUUACAGCCUUAUUCUAAAAUAGAUUAAAUCAUUUUAUUCCCAUCAUCAAUCUACACACAAUACCCCAUAAGGACAAAGCAAAAACAGGUUUUUAGACAUUUUAGCAAAUGUAUAUAAAAUAAAAUUUUAAAAAUGAAAUAUCACAUUUACAUUACUAUUCAGACCCUUUACUUAGCUCUUUCCUUUGGCAGCGAUUACAGCCUUGAGUCUUCUUGGGUAUGACGCUACAAGCUUGGCACACCUAUAUUUGGUGAGUUUCUCCCAUUCUUCUCUGCAGAUCCUCUCAAGCUCUGUCAGGUUGGAUGGGGAGCGUAGCUGCACAGCUAUUUUCAGGUCUCUCCAGAUGUUCGAUCAGGUUCAUGUCUGGGCUCUGGCUGGGCCACUCAAGGACAUUCAGAGACUCCUGUGUUGUCUUGGCUGUGUGCUUUUGGUUGUCCAUUUGGAAGGUGAACCUUCGCCUUAGUCUGAGGUCCUGAGUGCUCUGGAGCAGGUUUUCAUCAAGGAUCUCUCGGUACUUUGCUCCGUUCAUCUUUUGAUUCUGACCAGUCUCCCAGUCCCUGCCGCUGAAAAACAUCCCCACAGCAUGAUGCUGCCACCACCAUGCUUCAACGUGGGGAUGGUGCCAGGUUUCCUCCAGACGUGACGCUUGGCAUUCAGGCCAAAGAGUUAAAUCUUGCUUUCAUCAGACCAAAGAAUCUUGUUUCUCAUGGUAUGAGAGUCCUUUAGGUGCCUUUUGGCAAUGUCAUACACACACACACACACACACACACACAUUGACUGGUAGUGUAUAUAUAACCUAAAUACAAAGUAACUUACAUUACAGUAUCUGCAUACAUUUUAG
rnacentral:lncRNA from 1 species